UACAGAGGGUGCGAGCGUUAAUCGGAAUUACUGGGCGUAAAGCGUGCGUAGACGGUUAUUUAAGUCGGAUGUGAAAGCCCCGGGCUCAACCUGGGAAUUGCAUUCGAGACUGAAUAGCUAGGGUGCGGUAGAGGGAAGCGGAAUUUCCGGUGUAGCGGUGAAAUGCGUAGAGUAUCGGAAGGAACAUCAGUGGCGAAAGCGGCUUCCUGGACCAGCACCGACGUUCAGGCACGAAAGCGUGGGGAGCAAACCAGG
rnacentral:rRNA from 1 species